rnacentral:rRNA from 1 species
CCUACGGGGGGCAGCAGUGGGGGAUAUUGCACAAUGGGGGAAACCCUGAUGCAGCGACGCCGCGGGAGUGAAGAAGUAUUUCGGUAGGUAAAGCUCUAUCAGCAGGGAAGAAAAUGACAGACCUGGCCCAAAAACCCCGGCUAAAUACGUUCCAGCAGCCGCGGUAAAACGUAGGGGGGAAGGGUUAUCCGGAUUUACUGGGGUGAAAGGGAGGGUAGACGGUUAUGUAAGUCUGGAGUGAAAGCCCGGGGCCCAACCCCGGGACUGCUUUGGAAACUGUGUAACUGGAGUACAGGAGGGGCAGGCGGAAUUCCUGGUGUAGCGGUGAAAUGCGUAGAUAUCAGGAGGAACACCGGCGGCGAAGGCGGCCUGCUGGACUGAAACUGACGUUGAGGCUCGAAAGCGUGGGGAGCAAACAGGAUUAGAUACCCGGGUAGUC